GUGAAAUUACCGUGAACUCAAAAGCACAAGUCGGUCAACUGAACUGGUAAACACAGCGGUCUUUGUUUCUUUAUAAACAUGGUUUACAAUAUCUCACCAACCUCCGCGUAACUACCUAACACCUCGGAGAACACUCCUUGAGAAGUUAAUAGUCGCUCAGUUAGUAAAAAAGUUCAAGGUCUUUUACGGAACUAGAAUAUUCAUUACAGUGUUCACAAAAGUUAGCCACUGCUCCCUAGUCUAAAGCAGGAUUUACAAGUAGUAAUGGCGACAUUACUUCGUGUUCUGUCUUCAUGCAUCCUCUUGCUUGUAGUAAUUUUGAAUUUAGAAGCGAUGCAAUCAAAAUGCGAAUACAAACAAUGGGGAAACAAAAUAAUAUGUACAGGAGAAAUGCAGAAGUACUUGAGAAGGAGAGUAUUUUCUGAAGCGAUCGCCAAUAUCAGCGUGCUGGAAGUGUGCAACACCGACCUCACGCACCUCGAAGGCUCAUGGUACGAAGAAGACUGUGUAAGUUAAGUUGCGAAAUUUCUGAAAGAAUGUUCUUCCACGAACAAAUUAAAUACGAGAACACCUACAUUACACAAGGCGCUUGUAAACUUGCAACAUGCGAGAAAUUAUGAGUAUGGCUCUUUAAGAAGACAGGCAACGAAGUUAUUUGGUCUGAAAGGGAAAUAAACAUUUUAUUUACGACGACGAAUAAUUGAAAGUGACGACUGCAUAAACACUGCGAGCAGUUUUGACCAACAGAACAAUAAGAAUGAAUUGUGGGGGAUAAUGAAGAGUGGACAUAAUGAUAUUAAAAGGCGAAAUUUGUUCUCAAGAAUUUGUAAUAUCAAUUUGCAGUCUCACUGAUGGGUCCUUGUAAACAUGACGAGCCCUCGGGUUCGUAGUUGUAGAGGGAAUGAUAAUAUUAAAAUGCAUUUUAAAGAAUUGGUGUCAGAGAAUAUUAACUGACUGGUUGGCUCAGGAUAAAGUCCAGCGAGAGAUCUUGUAAACAUGGUGAGCCUUUGGGUUCCUAGUAUCAGACGAAGGGAUAGUAUAAAAAAAUAUGUCUUAAUGAAAUGGGUUUAAAGACGUGAAAAUGUGGCGAGCUUUUGGGUUCCGUACAUAACGGAGAAUUUCUAGACGACCUGAGCGACUCUCAGUUUCUCUGGCCAUGUUGGCGAACAAAACACCUCAUAUAGUAGGAAAAUUUCUCCCUUUCUCUUUGAAAUGGCAUACUGCGAUCUUCCACGUAGCAUUUUCUCUUUUACCAACAUCGAUCACAAUCUUGUAUUUUAACAGGAACUUUUUGUAAUUAAUCGUGACCAGCCGUGGUUAUGCCAAUUUAGAACACAUUUUAAUUAGCCUGAGUGAGGUGUACAGUGCCACAGCACUUCCAAUUACAUUAGCACGGGAGCACCCCCCCACCCCAACCCUACAUACACACAGACUCACAAUUCGCAUCAUUUACAACUACAGGCCUAACUCAUCCCCUCAAAAACAGCGCACUAAACCCCGUAUCACGUACAUGGCUUAGAACCAUGUACUGUACACCUUUUUACAUUAAAAAGAAAUGGGUGUGUCACUCUAAAUACGUUUUCGUAACAACCCUCAUAAAUAAGUCACACACGUGUUGCGUUAAGUGACAAGUAAUACUUUUAAACCACCUACACAAAUUAUGUGUCCUUUCCUUGGAACCGGCGUCAAGAUAAAUUAUUCACUUACUACGUUAGUUUAUACUAGAAAGAAAACAGUUCUUGUUUUAAAGAACAAUUAAGUUGGGCCUAUGUUUUAAUUUGCAUCGGCUACAUAUAAGCACAAAAUUUACAUAUGCGGGCAAUGAAAAACGCCAUAUCCAUUAAUUAAACCACGAGAUUAAUUCGUGACAAAAAUUACGAAAUCGCGAACUGUUAUUUUAAAAAAUAAAUGCACUAAUAUAAAAUUAAUUUAAUGAAAAUAUUGAAGAUUAGCACAUACAAAAAAUGCACUUUUAAAGCCGACUGUGGUAUUCCGGGUUAUGAUAUCUUACAGUAUUUUAUGUACUUAUCGACGUUUUGAACAAGUGUAUCUUUAACCUUGAAGGUGAAGGUGACAUGUUCCUCCGAAACGUCAGUAAGUCUAACCAGUCACAAGAUUACGCGUAGCCCAGAAGACCACAGUCUACAUUUUCACCUCCGUGAAAUCCUUAACUACCUCCACGCAGAGAUGCCCUCAUAAAGAGCCGAUAGUCAAUGAGUAUGCCAAGAAAUUCUCGCAUUUUAGGGAACCCGAAAAUUUGUUACCGUAAUUAUAAUAGAACACCACUGGGCCCUAUCCUGAGCCAUAUGAACCCAAUCCACACUAUCACACCGGUCUCGUUAAAUUCCAUUUAAUCCGACCCUCACGUCUACGUUUAGUUCUCUCAAUUUGCCCUUUUUCGUUAAGUUUUCCGGACUAAUAUUUUGCAGAUCUCACCUCCUCUCUACUGUGCUGCAUGCCCUCUCGUCUUAUCCUCAUUCACUGACUAGUAAAAAUAUUUGGUGGAGUACAGACACAUUUUGUGAAACUUUGUAGCUGAGAUUUGCGGCGGAACAAAAUAUCAUAACAAACAUAAAGUUGUACAAAUAGUCAGAAUUAUUAA